UGAAAUGCGAUAAGUAAUGUGAAUUGCACAAAUCUGUGAAUCAUCAAAUCUUUGAACGCACCUUGCGCUCGCUGGGUCUUCCAGCGAGCAUACCUGCUUGAGAAUCAUACGGGCAAUUGUGGACGAUAUGUGUUGUGGUGUGAUUCGUUUCACUGCGAUCGUCUCGGGCACAGACGUGGGGAUCAGGCUUCCGAGCGUGUUCCCUGAAAGACAGUUGCGGCAGCGUCGUGUGCGGCCCGCAGUUUAAAGGCGUGCUAAAGUAACGCCGAGAAUAACUGCGAAGCGGCGCGGCGCGGCCCAAGUGGGAGCAACCGCUGGGUAGUCUGAAAAAUUUUUUGUCGGCUCACACCGACGAAUCACUAUCGGGUUCAGCGACAAACUGAUCUCAAGUCAGGCAGGA
rnacentral:misc_RNA from 1 species